UACGUAGGUGGCAAGCGUUGUCCGGAUUUAUUGGGUUUAAAGGGUGCGUAGGCGGCUUUGUAAGUCAGUGGUGAAAUAUGGCAGCUCAACUGUCAAGGUGCCAUUGAUACUGCAGAGCUUGAGUACAGAUGAGGUAGGCGGAAUUGACGGUGUAGCGGUGAAAUGCUUAGAUAUCGUCAAGAACACCUAUAGCGAAGGCAGCUUACUGGGCUGUAACUGACGCUGAUGCACGAAAAGUGUGGGGAUCAAACAGGG
rnacentral:rRNA from 1 species